UACAGAGGGUGCAAGCGUUGUUCGGAAUUAUUGGGCGUAAAGGGCUCGUAGGCGGUCCAUCACGUCGGGAGUGAAAAGCUGGGGCUUAACCCCAGUCCUGCUUCCGAUACGGGUGGACUAGAGGUAGGCAGGGGAGAACGGAAUUCCUGGUGUAGCGGUGAAAUGCGCAGAUAUCAGGAGGAACACCAAUUGCGAAGGCAGCUCGCUGGGACGUAACUGACGCUGAGACGCGAAAGCGUGGGGAGCAAACAGG
rnacentral:rRNA from 1 species